UCUCCACUAAGGGUAACCUGGGACUACCUAUCACCACAGUGUGUGGAUGCAUAAGAAAGACUGCACUGGAAAGAAAAAAAUAUAUUCCUCAAGCCCCUUUCUCAUCCUCCAAAGACCAUGCGGUUCUGGACUCUGCCUCAAUGGCGGGAAAACCUCAACCGGCACGGCACACGCCCAACGCAGGGAGCAUGCGCAGUGUGUUCGUGUGUGCGCGCGCACCCCUUGCUGCGCAUGCCCCUUGUUGCGCAUACGCGUUCCUGAGCAUUCUGUGAGGAGCGUUGGGCCUGAGACGCGUCUGUUUAUUCAGUCCCCGUUCUUUCUCACUACUUGAGACUCACCAGGGAGAAAUAUGAGUGGGCAAGUGGCAUCAACAUUGGGACCUGCAGAUCAAGAUUCCUCUGAGGUGGAUGAACCUGUGGUUCAGCCCAGUGUUGAGCAACCUGAACAAGAGGAACCACCAGCUGAGAUUCAGGAUAUCACACCUAGAAAGGAGGAGGUCCAUGGAGAGGAUCCAGUGAAUCGUGAUGAAGAGGAGGAGAAGGAUGCCUAUGAAGGUAAAGUGUAUUUGUGCAUCAUGCCUUAAGACAUAGCCAGUAAGAGGAGGAAAGGAAACAUUAGAAAAAGACUUCAGACAAUUCCUAAAAAUCUGAGGAGAGUAUAGGUUGCAGGUUAGUGUGGUUGCUCAGAUUUUCCCUUGUUUUCAAGACAAAGAGAGGGGGGCAGCUAAGUUGUCUGAGGACAACCCUGGAAAAGGAAAAUGGUAAUAACAUUUGGAAAAUUCUGCUUUCCUUUUUCUCCAGCAAAACAUUCCCGGAAUAAUGCUCCUGAGGUUCUUAUUCAUCACAUUUUUAGCAUAAUAACCUAAGGCUUUGAAUUCAUAACACCGAGGGAAUGAAUAUCACCAUUCCCUCGUUUAUACUGUAUGCUUUACAGCUGAAUUGAUGCAUUUUUUUAAAAAAAGAUUCUGGCCUGGAAGCUGAUCUCCAGGAAUUGUCUGUGUCAAAGACUGGGGGUGAAGGUGGAGAUGGUCCUGAUGUCAGGGAGGAGUUUGCAUCAAAUAUAGAGCCUGUUGAAAUGCCAGAAGCAGGUGAAGGGCAACCAUUUGCUUGAAAGAAGAGAAACUGAAACCAUCUAUGCUGUUCUUCUGUUGUGUAUUUGACUGUUAAAGUUCUGUCAAUAAAGUUUCGUCUUCUACUGGCACAUGUUUUGUUAAAUUUAU